ACUUUUUGAUGUAGUUUUAUGUAUUGAUUUAUAUACUGUAGAUAGAUAGAUGGAUGGAUGGAUAGAUAGAUAGAUAGAUUGAUAGAUAGAUAGAUAGAUAGAUAGAUAGAUAGAUAGAUACGCUAAUUUGAUAUUUGGUGAAAUUCCCAUGUAAAGCAUCGAAGUAAAAACUUGCUAGAUUUUGUAUUGCAUAAUCAAGAUUAAUAGGGGAAAUACAUCUGGUGUGUUUUAGUGAAACGGAAACUGUGAUCAGCAGGUGGCAAAAGCUUCCCAAGACAUCCCGUUAUAGCAUCAACAUGCUGCAGUUUCAGCUUUGAGAAUUAAAAAGUUGUAUUCUUAUAUCUAGCAGAGCUUUUCUGCUAAAUGUCAGUCAUGUAUGUGUAAAAAUCCACAAGCAAAAAGUUUAUCCUCCCAUAAAACUUUCCUCCCUUGACUUCCUCUGAUUCAUCCGAAAAGAAUACAUGGAUGAAACCCCCUCCCAAGACAUUCCCUCUUCCAUGAACAAUAAAUGUGGAAGUGUCAUGUAAUAUUGAUGGGCUCAGCUGAUGAUCUCCUGACGACCCCAGUUUGGUCCCUCUCAUGUUCUAUAAAAUAUUCAUGACCCUUGUCCCCUUCCUGCACCCACCCCCUCAGCAUCCCAUAAUGCAUAUGUGAUGUUCUGCUGGGCCGCUCGCACAAAAACACACAUCUAGCUGCAGGAGCAAAGAAUGAUGGGAUAUAUAAGCAUGAUCUCCUGUGGUGAAACCAGCUCUGAGUUUUUCUAAACUUAAAAAAACAACACAUUGAUUUCAGUUCCAAGUCUGGAAAUCUUUCCUCCAUUGUACACCUGAUGUUCCCCACCCCUGUACUUUCUCACAACUAGCAUUAAUGUCGUUCAACUCCUCCUACUCUCCCUCUACCUGUUCACCUGCAUCUGUUCUUUUGUCAUUUUUAUCAAUGCAUCCUUCUUUUCCUCCCUCCCUUGUGUUCCUCUUUCCGUCGUUCUCAUUAACACCCCUGCCCUGAUAGAUGUAAGUGGCGUACUGCUCCUUGAGAGGCUCUCAUGGGUGUCCCGAGCAGCCCUGGCACCCUGUGUUCCUCUCCUUAGACCCGGGCCUGUGCCAUCUGCCUCUGUCACUGCCACCGCUGGGCACUGGGAGUCAGUGUGCAUGAGGCAGUCCUCUUCUUCUGCAAGAAAUAAACACACGCUGUGGCUGCUGCAGCUUUCAGCCGGCAUGUGGUUGAAUGUCCCACCUCUAGAGUGACCACUUCCUGUUCCGCUUCAUCUCGGACAGCAGCAUGGAGGUAUUUAGUCAUCCGAGACGAGGGCUGUCUGUUUUCCUGCGGUUGCUUCACCCGAUUCCCCUCCACUGCACACCAGAUGUAACCAAAGCAGAGGACAAAACAAGUGCAUUAUUUUUUCAGAGGCAUGUCUAGUAUGAGACAGUGAUGCGCGCUGACAGGGCCUGCUAAUUGGAGUAAAUUAAUUUACCUCGGGCGCCAUGUUCUCACAAAGUGCCGCGCUCCAUGUGAAUAAGUGAUGAUCGGCAGGGCUCGUAUAAGCCCCGAGUUUUUAAAUCAUUUAGCAGCGCAUUCUGCUAAUUAGCACAGAGAAAGUCGGCUUUCAGCUACAAUUAAGACGGGCCUCUGUCAGUCAGGGGACUGCAGCCGGGAAGAAGCACUGAUUUAUUCAUCCUGCAAGCAGAUGCUGAGUGCAUUGGGGGUUUGGAUGGAGGGACUUGGAGAUGAAGCAAGCAAGGGGAUCUGAGAGAUGAAGGCAGUGAGGGAGAGGACUGCAGUAUGUGUGUGGGUUGCUAUUAGUGUGCUGGUGCAGAAAUUUUGUUUUAAUUUUUUUCUUCUCUGCAAGAAAAGGCACAAACAAAGCAAUGAGACGAGCUGGUGGAGUACAGUAAGUGAGGUUGUGUGUGUAACUUGUGAUUGGUCACCUAUGGGCUUUACUUCCCAUGCUUAGUUGACAAGACUCUUUCCAGGACUGUUGCAAGGUCAUUCCUGUUACGUUUGAGGUUGCGGUUAUAAUUUAAAGGGACAGUUCACCCAAAAAUGAAAAUUCUGUCAUUUACUUACCCUCAUGUCAUUCCAAACCUCUAAGACAUUCGUUCAACUUCUGAACACAAAUGAAGACACUUUUAAUGAAAUAUGAGAGAUUUCUGUCCCUCCACUGACAGACUAUCACUUUUUGAUGCUUCAGAAAUUUCUUAAAAAGAUUGUAAAACUAAUCCAUAUGAAUUUAGUGGUUUAGUCCAAAUUUUCUGAUUACUUUAUAUGAUGAACAGAUUUAAUUUAGGCUUUUAUUCACAUAUAAACAUUAAUCAGUGCACACAGUUGUGGCAAAUAGAAGCUCAAGCAUACUUGCUUGAAGUGUGAGAACCAAUGAGGUUCAUUCUUGUGUGUUAGGAAGCACAUUUGGGCUUCCCUAAGAAUCAUUAAGCAAGUUUGGUUGAGCUUCUGUUUGUGUUUGCUGAUCAAUGUAAAUAAAAGCUUAAAUUAAAUCUUAUGAAUCA
ensembl:lncRNA